UUGCGGCUACAUCACAUUGAAUGACCGGUUUCCGUACUAUCACUGAAGUUAAGGACCGUCGAAUCUAGUCAGUACUUAGAUGGGUGACCUCUUAGGAACACCUGGUCAGUGCCU